rnacentral:rRNA from 1 species
AGCGAACGCUGGCGGCAGGCCUAACACAUGCAAGUCGAACGAAGUCUUCGGACUUAGUGGCGGACAGGUGAGUAACACGUGGGAACGUACCUUUUGGUUCGGAACAACUCAGGGAAACUUGAGCUAAUACCGGAUGAGCCCUUAGGGGGAAAGAUUUAUCGCCGAAAGAGCGGCCCGCGUUAGAUUAGCUAGUUGGUGAGGUAAAGGCUCACCAAGGCUACGAUCUAUAGCUGGUCUGAGAGGAUGAUCAGCCACACUGGGACUGAGACACGGCCCAGACUCCUACGGGAGGCAGCAGUGGGGAAUCUUGCGCAAUGGGCGAAAGCCUGACGCAGCCAUGCCGCGUGAAUGAUGAAGGUCUUAGAAUUGUAAAAUUCUUUUACCAGGGACGAUAAUGACGGUACCUGGAGAAAAAGCCCCGGCUAACUUCGUGCCAGCAGCCGCAGUAACAC